ACCCGAGCCCGUAAACAUCACAUUUCUCCUGGCCUCCUAGAGCACAGGUCUCGCCUUCCAAGUGGAGUUCCCGCGUGCCAACUUUGACACAUCUUGUAACAAUAACUCCUGUGAGCUGCUUUUUAUGUGAUGUGAGACAGGUGUGCAACUGUUGAAUCCAUGUCUCCGGAGAGCUUAUUAAAGCGGCUAAGCCAAUUAACUCUCAGAGAAACACGCAACCUUUUCCAGGAAAAUACACCUGAGAAGCCCUACUGAAUUGGCCAUUCUCUGUCGAACAUUUGGUAGCUGAGCAAGUAAAACUGGAAGACAGACUGGUGUGAGGCUCUUACCAGGCUUGGAGCUCAGAGACCCCCCCCCCAGGAAGAGGAAUCAUUACGGGAGCACACCAAGGAGCCUGAUGCUCACAGCAGUCCAGUGCCUUUUCUCAGGUACCAAUGGAGAUGAGCCGCCUCGUAACAUCAGCAUCCGCUCUGAGUCAGAAGAAAUCAAGGCAAGACUCAAAGUGUCAUAACACAGCUCGCUGAAGCAACGAAGAUUGUCCAGGCCUCACCGAGAAGUCUGUGCAAUGUCCCAUCAGGAGUGGAAAAGGAAACAGAAGACACAAGAAGACAAAUAAAAUCCAGGCGUGUUUAGGAGACACACAUGGCACUUCACUUCAUCUUGCAGAGACAAAUGAGCACUUGUUAGGUCAUUCUCUGAUGCUGGAAGGCACCAGGGACGAGAGAAUGGACAACAGUGACCGUGACUCCCUCGGCGCUUUUUGGCAGAAAUGAAAGGAACUGGGGCAUUGCAGCCUGGGCUGGGCAGCCUACACUCAGAAAAACCUCAACAAGGACUAGACAGAGUAAGAAACAACAUACUUUCCAUCUAAUUAUUGUGAAGACGUCAAUCCAGAUCUUUGGCUAACGUCCAUGUAGGUUACCGAGGAAGCCUCGUUUUAGCCUCUUCUCUUCUCAUUGUUAGCUCUGUAACUGCUAACCAGGCAGUUUUACUAUGUCUAUUAACUGCUGAACUAUGGCUUGUAAGGAAGGGGUGAUGGCUCCUUCUUAGCCAUAGAGAGCUGCUCUGGAGGAGCGAUAAGAUAUUGUGCAGGGAUAUUGUCUUUGAGAUUCAUCACAUAUUCAGUGAUUCUACAUAAAUUAAGAUUCUCCUGGAUGAAGCAAAAACAGUUGCGUGUAAGACCACAGUAGGAGCUUUGAAAUAUAAACACUGCUCCUCUUCGGAUUUCCUCCCGCCUUGCCCUAACACUGGCUUCUAUGGCGAUCCCUAACACCCUUGACAGAUCUGGGUGCAAACAAGGCACGUGGAUGUUGGUGUGUGGGGGGGAUGCCAACUAUACAGAUGGUGCUUUCCAAAAGCUUAAAAUACCAUGAAAGGUGGCUACGCUGUACUGUGUCAGUAUUCAUCUUGGUGGUCCUUAGUCCAGUGACCAGUCAGCUGUCAUACCCUCCUGUGCCUGCGCAGGCAAUCUUUUGCAUUCAUUGAUGGUAAUGUUUCUAAAAGUAUUCUCAAUGUGCAGCUAAGUCUUCUUUUUGUUACAGACCUUGCCAUUGCAGGCUUAAAUCUGAACUGGACUCUGACACGAGUCUAGAUUGGCCUGUACAUCCUUAGUCUAGCAUCCAACUUCAUGACCCCAGUUGGGUCUCUAAUUCAGAUAAAGGCAUAACCCCUAAACUUGUGUGUUAUGGGUUGAGCCAUAAAUGGUUCCCGUAGAUCCAUGCUUUUAAUGCUUGUUCCCAAGGCACUAUUUGGGGAUGCUGAGGAACCCUUAGGAGAUAGGACCUAGCCGACAGUAGUAGGUCACUAAGAGUAGGCCUUUGACAGUUACAGUCUGGUCUCGGGGUCCAGUCUUGCUGUCUGUCCCUGAUCCACUGUGAUGUGAAUGGUUGCUCUCUGUCACAGGCUCCAUGAACCACAGUAUUAUAUUCAAGUGCACGAUGCCAUGUGACUGUAG